ACUCCUACGGGAGGCAGCAGUGGGGAAUAUUGCACAAUGGGCGAAAGCCUGAUGCAGCGACGCCGCGUGAGGGAUGACGGCCUUCGGGUUGUAAACCUCUUUCAGCAGGGAAGAAGCUUAAUCGUGACGGUACCUGCAGAAGAAGCACCGGCUAACUACGUGCCAGCAGCCGCGGUAAUACGUAGGGUGCGAGCGUUGUCCGGAAUUAUUGGGCGUAAAGAGCUUGUAGGCGGUUUGUCGCGUCUGCUGUGAAAACUCGGGGCUUAACCCCGAGCCUGCAGUGGGUACGGGCAGACUAGAGUAUGGUAGGGGAGACUGGAAUUCCUG
rnacentral:rRNA from 1 species